rnacentral:rRNA from 1 species
GACGAACGCUGGCGGCGUGCUUAACACAUGCAAGUCGAACGGUAAGGCCCUUCGGGGUACACGAGUGGCGAACGGGUGAGUAACACGUGGGUGAUCUGCCCUGCACUUCGGGAUAAGCCUGGGAAACUGGGUCUAAUACCGGAUAGGACCACUGCCUGCAUGGGUGGUGGUGGAAAGCUUUUGCGGUGUGGGAUGGGCCCGCGGCCUAUCAGCUUGUUGGUGGGGUGAUGGCCUACCAAGGCGACGACGGGUAGCCGGCCUGAGAGGGUGACCGGCCACACGGGGACUGAGAUACUGCCCAGACUCCUACGGGAGGCAGCAGUGGGGAAUAUUGAACAAUGGGCGCAAGCCUGAUGCAGCGACGCCGCGUGAGGGAUGACGGCCUUCGGGUUGUAAACCUCUUUCAGCACCGACGAAGCGCAAGCGACGGUAGGUGCAGAAGAAGGACCGGCCAACUACGUGCCAGCCGCCGCCGUAA